rnacentral:rRNA from 1 species
UUGGAGAAGUUUUGAAUCUGGCUCAGGACGAACGCUGGCGGCGUGCCUAAUACAUGCAAGUAGAACGCUGAAGACUUUAGCUUGCUAAAGUUGGAAGAGUUGCGAACGGGUGAGUAACGCGUAGGUAACCUGCCUACUAGCGGGGGAUAACUAUUGGAAACGAUAGCUAAUACCGCAUAACAGCAUUUAACCCAUGUUAGAUGCUUGAAAGGAGCAAUUGCUUCACUAGUAGAUGGACCUGCGUUGUAUUAGCUAGUUGGUGAGGUAACGGCUCACCAAGGCGACGAUACAUAGCCGACCUGAGAGGGUGAUCGGCCACACUGGGACUGAGACACGGCCCAGACUCCUACGGGAGGCAGCAGUAGGGAAUCUUCGGCAAUGGGGGCAACCCUGACCGAGCAACGCCGCGUGAGUGAAGAAGGUUUUCGGAUCGUAAAGCUCUGUUGUAAGAGAAGAACGUGUGUGAGAGUGGAAAGUUCACACAGUGACGGUAACUUACCAGAAAGGGACGGCUAACUACGUGCCAGCAGCCGCGGUAAUACGUAGGUCCCGAGCGUUGUCCGGAUUUAUUGGGCGUAAAGCGAGCGCAGGCGGUUUAAUAAGUCUGAAGUUAAAGGCAGUGGCUUAACCAUUGUUCGCUUUGGAAACUGUUAGACUUGAGUGCAGAAGGGGAGAGUGGAAUUCCAUGUGUAGCGGUGAAAUGCGUAGAUAUAUGGAGGAGACACCGGUGGCGAAAGCGGCUCUUCUGGUCUGUAACUGACGCUGAGGCUCGAAAGCUG